rnacentral:rRNA from 1 species
GCUCAGAUUGAACGCUGGCGGCAGGCUUAAACACAUGCAAAGUCGAACGAUGAUUAUCUAGCUUGCUAGAUAUGAUUAGUGGCGGACGGGUGAGUAACAUUUAGGAAUCUGCCUAGUAGUGGGGGAUAGCUCGGGGAAACUCGAAUUAAUACCGCAUACGACCUACGGGUGAAAGGGGGCGCAAGCUCUUGCUAUUAGAUGAGCCUAAAUCAGAUUAGCUAGUUGGUGGGGUAAAGGCCCACCAAGGCGACGAUCUGUAACUGGUCUGAGAGGAUGAUCAGUCACACCGGAACUGAGACACGGUCCGGACUCCUACGGGAGGCAGCAGUGGGGAAUAUUGGACAAUGGGGGCAACCCUGAUCCAGCCAUGCCGCGUGUGUGAAGAAGGCCUUUUGGUUGUAAAGCACUUUAAGCAGGGAGGAGAGGCUAAUGGUUAAUACCCAUUAGAUUAGACGUUACCUGCAGAAUAAGCACCGGCUAACUCUGUGCCAGCAGCCGCGGUAAUACAGAGGGUGCGAGCGUUAAUCGGAAUUACUGGGCGUAAAGCGAAUGUAGGUGGCUCAUUAAGUCACAUGUGAAAUCCCCGGGCUUAACCUGGGAACUGCAUGUGAUACUGGUGGUGCUAGAAUAUGUGAGAGGGAAGUAGAAUUCCAGGUGUAGCGGUGAA